AGUGAACGCUGGCGGUAGGCCUAACACAUGCAAGUCGAACGGCAGCACAGUAAGAGCUUGCUCUUACGGGUGGCGAGUGGCGGACGGGUGAGGAAUACAUCGGAAUCUACUUUUUCGUGGGGGAUAACGUAGGGAAACUUACGCUAAUACCGCAUACGCCCUACGGGUGAAAGCAGGGGAUCUUCGGACCUUGCGCGAUUGAAUGAGCCGAUGUCGGAUUAGCUAGUUGGCGGGGUAAAGGCCCACCAAGGCGACGAUCCGUAGCUGGUCUGAGAGGAUGAUCAGCCACACUGGAACUGGGACACGGUCCAGACUCCUACGGGAGGCAGCAGUGGGGAAUAUUGGACAAUGGGCGCGAGCCUGAUCCAGCCAUACCGCGUGGGUGAAGAAGGCCUUCGGGUUGUAAAGCCCUUUUGUUGGGAAAGAAAAGCAGCAGGUUAAUACCCCGCUGUUCUGACGGUACCCAAAGAAUAAGCACCGGCUAACUUCGUG
rnacentral:rRNA from 1 species